rnacentral:lncRNA from 1 species
AGCUUGUCUAAAAUNAAAGAGUUAUGGCAUGUUUGGGAUGGUGGACUAGACUGCCGAAUCAUUAUUAAUUGAAAAAAAAGGUUGUUAAAAUCUUACUGAUUGUAGUGACAAGUCCUGUUUAGUACCGCAAAAAUUUAUCCUAAUGAUGGAGUAGACAUUUUAUGCACUAGCAGUGUGAAUUCUUUGUUGACACAAAAAACCUUCCUAGUCUGCCAUGUUGCACUACUUCAUGUGUUAGAUAGGAGGGUAGUACAUGUGGCACACUUUUAUCUGCACUUAAAGUAUUCGUUGGCUUUUGUCUGUUGUGGCAUUUGAAUUUUUGAAAAGAAAAUGGAGAGAGUUCGGCAUAGGAAGUCCAAGAGUGCUACAAGCAUUGAAGGUAAAAAAAUUCCAUCUCUCGUUCUAUGACUAUAUAUUUUGAUAGAAUAUUUUUUGAAUGGUUAAGCACUUUGGUCUUUUGUGAAGAGAAAUUUUGUUUUGGUAAGAAAAGGGAAGAGGUUUAGGAGAGUUUUAAUUAAAUAAUUGUGUUUGCUACUUUCACGACAUUGCCAAAAUUUAAUGGAAUUAUUCAUUUUAUUUUCCAAAUAUCCUUCUUGUGAGAUUUUUUUUUUUUGUCAUUGAAUAAUCUGUUUAUUCAUUAAGCAAUAAAAAAAGAAUCUUUGUUGAGCUGUUUAAUUUCUGUUUCUUUUUGUUGUUAAAUGUAAAGAUUAUAAUUGACAUGAGUUAAUUAUAGGUGUUGAGCAUGCUUUCGCUAAAGUAAGUGUUUUCUCAAGUGGAAUUAAAUAGGGACCUCUUUUUUCUAUUUUUUGUAAUGGUAUGAUGGUAUCAGCAUUAUUUUGUUCCCUUUUCCUUAUAGAGCUUUCUUCUUAUGAUAAAUUAUCAUAAUUGGGCCAAGUCCUUCAGGAAAACCUACGCUAGUUUUAUUCACAUUUUCCUUUAAAUUCUAUUUAAGCGCAUCGUACAGUUUUCCCAAUUUUUAAAAUGAUUCCUUCAACAUAUAGUUUGUAAUUUUAGACUCAUGGAAUACAUUAGCUGCUACAUUCGUAUUUAACUUGAUUUGAUCUCGGGAGAUGUGGCUGUUAGAAAAAUGUAAAAUUGGAGUUCAAAACUACCAAUUAGAAGAAAUAUGUAUUGGAGAGAAAAUAAUUAAAGUUUGUCCCACGUAGAAAAAUUUACAAGACAACGACUAGUUUAUAUAUGACCACGUUUUAGAAAAGUGUAAUCACGUAGCAUAAAAUUCACUCUACUGUGCUCUCACUAGGGUGUAAAUUAUUAACUUGAUUAGCACCUUAUGCCAUUGUAGUUAUGCGCAAGUGCGAUUAGCGUAUACAAAUGUCGGAUCGAAAUUGACUACUUAUAAGGAUUUGUAUUUUGCCUUUAUUUUGUAGUUUUUUUUAUUGUUUUUUUUCCUUUCAACUGACUUUCUUGCUCCUAAAACUCUUGUGUUUAUUGCAUUUAUUAACGAAAAGAUUACACAGUUAGAUUAUGAUGGUGUUAAUGGUUGUAACACAUUUAAUUGUCGGUUGUUAAGUUACUCAUUACAACCUUUUAUUAUGUAGGUCAGUUUUCUCCUUUGCUCCACACACAAAAAUUCCAAUCUUCUUUAUAGUUCCUUUCUACCCAGAAUGUUUCGUUAUAUUAUGGAAGACAGGCACUCAGACAAAACUUUAAGCACUUAUGAUAAGGGAAAGAGUCUAUUUAAAAGGUAUUGUGUAAUACAGAGUCCUUGAUUUACAAAUCUAUUAUCUCUUUAGCGAUUAAUAUUUUCCUACAAUUCUUGAUUUCCCGUUAUGUUCCAUCUAUAAUUAAUAAAAUAUAUUAUUAUAUUAUGUGACAUCAGUAUAGCAACUUAAAAAUGAUUCUAAAAUAAACAAAUUGAUGAUUAAUAUCUUCGUUGAAGAAUUAAUAUUCAUUUUUUUUUUAAGAAAUGAUAACAGAAUCAAUCCAUAUGGAUAUAACUAGUUGGCUGAAUUGCCAAAUCUUGCUGUGAUCCAAACUGUGGUUAAAUUUUCAAGUUAUGCUAUACCGCAACUAUAUCGUAAACAAUUUUCCUGAUUCACUAUACAACGUGUAUAAUACGAUAAAAAUAGCUAAGUUGUGGGAGCCUUUAGACCGAAAAUAUAAAAUUAAGGAUGUCAAGGUUAAGAAAUUUAUUGUCGAGCAAUUCCUAGAUUAUAAGAUGGUGGACACAAAAUAUUUGAUCUACCAAGUACAGUAACUCCAAGUGAAAAUUUCAAAGUGACUUUUAUUAUUAAGAAGCUACCUUCUGCGUUGAAAGAUUUCAAGAAUUAUCUUUUGCACAAACGAAAGAAAAAGAAGAACUGUUUGUUAAACUUCAAAAUGAAGAAGACAAUAGAGAAUUUCUAGGGAAAAAAAAUUAUCAACGGCUAUGUUAACCACUUAAUGCGGGACUAGAUGCGCUUUUUUAAUUUUUUAAUUUUUAAAAAAUCUUUUAUUUGACUUUAGUUUAUUAACUUUAUUUUUUUUUUUUUAAUUUUCUUCUUUCUAAAAGGCUUUUACUUGACUUUAGUUUCAAAAUUUUUAAAUGACUUUUUUUGUACAAAAGUCAAAAAUGACUUAAUUUGAUAAAAAUUUAGAUAAGAUUUAAACUAUGGUGCUAACUAUAUUAUGUUAUUAUGAUUUUGAGACUUACUAUUUUGUUAAAAACUUCUAAUGUAUGAAAUUCUUAUAAAUCUAUUAAGUAGGGACUUGUCUAGUUGAAAGUUGAAAUUGUAAAAAUUCGUCUAACUUUUGUAUUUCGAAAAUUUAAAAAUUUUAUAAUUGACUAAUUGUGAAAAUUAUUAAAUAAAUAUGGUAGUUUAUAAUUUUAGAUGUUCAGUAUUAUUUUAAUUAUUUAAUAAUUUUUAUAAUGAUUAAGUAUUUACAAUAAUAAUAAAAAUAAAUAACUUAUUUUACCCUAUAGCUCGCCUAGGGUCAUCAAGGCUUCUAAAGCUUGACAUAUAACCUUCACGUCUAGUCAUAUUUUACAAUAUUUAAAACAUUGCUUUUAAGAUCUAUAAGAAUAAGUUUGGGCCAUCUAGUGGUAAAGGGUUAAGAAAAUAUUUCAAUUGUGGUUUUCCAUAAAUUUUCAGGGUGCAGAUUACCUAAGGAAAGAAAGAAAUGAAAUUGACUACAUGGUACACAAUGUAUCUAACAUAAACCUCGAAGACGUUAUUUCUGAAGUGCUACAAUUUAUGUUUGCUCUGAUAAAGAGUUGUUUAGUUUGUUUGAAGCAAUUGUUCUUUUAUAUGAAAUUCAACAAGUUCUAAAAUCAAGAAUUAAGGUAAGAUGGUUCUGAAGAUGACUUCUAGGAAAAAGCUAACUCUUAAUAAUAUGUUGUAUGUACUAGAAAUUUGCAAGAACCUAUUGUCUAGAUCUCUCUAAUAAGCAUUGUUUCAAUAUAGUGUUUGAGUUAGACAAAGUUAUUUUUCGAAAAGUGAAACGUUUGUUGACAAGAGUUAUGUUUGUGGUUGGUUGUUUAUGCUCAAUAUAAUGGUCAGCAAGUUGAAAUGAAUAAAACUAAUUCAUUUGCUUCUUUGGUUGUGUUUUUCAAUUUGUGAUAGACUAGGACAUGUUAAGAUACUCUGCGUAAAUUAAUUAACUUGAUUUAUAUACUCGCAUUCCACAAUAAUUCUAAACAUAAGCGCGACACUUUUGUUGACGCAAAUUGACAAGGUC